GAGGGUAUAGAUCAGUGGUAGAGUGUGUGCUUAGCAUGCAUGAGGUCCUGGGUUCAAUCCCUGGUACCUCCA
rnacentral:tRNA from 1 species